rfam:Trichomonas vaginalis G3, whole genome shotgun sequence.
AAUGACUCAGCGCAGUAUGAAGUCUUUGUUUUCUUCCGAAAACAAGCUCAAUGAGAGCCAUCGGGGGUAGAUCUAUCUCAUGACGAGUGGUGGAAUACUUUGACUCAUGAGAGAGAAGCUGAGGCGAAGGCGUCUACCUAGAGGGUUUCUGUCGAUCAAGGGCGAGAGUAGGAGUAUCCAACAGGAUUAGAGACCCUGGUAGUUCCUACCUUAAACGAUGCCGACAGGAGUUUGUCAUUUGUUAAUGGCAGAAUCUUUGGAGAAAUCAUAGUUCUUGGGCUCUGGGGGAACUACGACCGCAAGGCUGAAACUUGAAGGAAUUGACGGAAGGGCACACCAGGGGUGGAGCCUGUGGCUUAAUUUGAAUCAACACGGGGAAACUUACCAGGACCAGAUGUUUUUUAUGACUGACAGGCUUCGGGUCUUUCAGGAUAUUGUUUUUGGUGGUGCAUGGCCGUUGGUGGUGCGUGGGUUGACCUGUCUAGCGUUGAUUCAGCUAACGAGCGAGAUUAUCGCCAAUUAUUUACUUUGCCGAAGUCCUUCGGUUAAAGUUCUAAUUGGGACUCCCUGCGAUUUUAGCAGGUGGAAGAGGGUAGCAAUAACAGGUCCGUGAUGCCCUUUAGAUGCUCUGGGCUGCACGCGUGCUACAAUGUUAGGAUCAAUAGGACUGCGAGCCUGAGAGGGUGCGCUACUCUUAUAAUCCCUAACGUAGUUGGGAUUGACGUUUGUAAUCAGCGUCAUGAACCAGGAAUCCCUUGUAAAUGUGUGUCAACAACGCACGUUGAAUACGUCCCUGCCCUUUGUACACACCGCCCGUCGCUCCUACCGAUUGGAUGACUCGGUGAAAUCACCGGAUGCUUACGAGCAGAAAGUGAUUAAAUCACGUUAUCUAGAGGAAGGAGAAGUCGUAACAAGGUAACGGUAAGUGAACCUGCCGUUGGAUCAGUU